rnacentral:rRNA from 3 species
AAACCAACAGGGAUUGCCCUAGUAACGGCGAGUGAAGCGGCAACAGCUCAAAUUUGAAAUCUGGCCUCGGCCCGAGUUGUAAUUUGCAGAGGAAGCUUUAGGCGCGGCACCUUCUGAGUCCCCUGGAACGGGGCGCCAUAGAGGGUGAGAGCCCCGUAUAGUUGGAUGCCUAGCCUGUGUAAAGCUCCUUCGACGAGUCGAGUAGUUUGGGAAUGCUGCUCAAAAUGGGAGGUAAAUUUCUUCUAAAGCUAAAUACCGGCCAGAGACCGAUAGCGCACAAGUAGAGUGAUCGAAAGAUGAAAAGCACUUUGAAAAGAGGGUUAAAAAGCACGUGAAAUUGUUGAAAGGGAAGCGCUUGUGACCAGACUUGCGCCGGGCUGAUCAUCCGGUGUUCUCACCGGUGCACUCGGCCCGGCACAGGCCAGCAUCGGUUCUCGCGGGGGGAUAAAGGUCCCGGGAACGUAGCUCCUCCGGGAGUGUUAUAGCCCGGGGCGUAAUGCCCUCGCGGGGACCGAGGUUCGCGCAUCUGCAAGGAUGCUGGCGUAAUGGUCAUCAGCGAC